rnacentral:rRNA from 1 species
AUGGUAGCCGACCAGCAGCGCCGCGUGAAGCUGAUAGUUAGCUACGGCGGGAGGAUCGAGCGCGCCGAGAGUCGCCCGCCGAGGUACGUCGGCGGCGAGCACCUGCUCCUCAACGUCCUUUCGUCCGUCUCGACGAGGGGCUUCCGCGACCAGCUGGCGGCGCGCGCGGGCUUCUCCAACUUCUCCGUCAAGUACUGCUACUCCGGCGAGGGGCUGGACUCGCUCUGCGACGUGGACACGGACGAGGACCUGCGCGACAUGCUGGACAUCUUGCUCUACCGGGACCUUCAGGCCCGGCUGUUCAACGACAAGAACACGCGCCGGUUCCGAGUCUACCUGUUCCGUGACGCCGCCGCCGCCCCGUCGCUGACCUCCCAGGCCCUCGGGAAACCAGCUCCCAUGCGGCGUAGCGCGACGUCGCCAGCUCUGUUGCCGGCGAAGCCGGCCGACGUCGACGGGCGGCCCUCCCAGGGCCUGGCCGCUCCCGCUCCCUCUCUCGUGCCGCGGAUCACGACGUCGCCGAAUCCGUUGUGCAAGACGUCGACGGCUCGCCCCCGCUCUCGCAUGGCGGAUAGCGUCGUCGCCUUUGUUGACGGCAGACUCGACAGAUGA